GUGGGAGGAAGCUCACUCCAGAGGUCACAAACUGAGUGUCCAUCAAACUCCACCACAACCUCGGGGAAGGUCUGAGAACAAAGAAGCCCAAUCACUGCCCUCGCAGGGUGUCACCUGAUCCAGGUGAGUGAGGAACCACAGAGAAGCUGAUGCUGAUGGAGGUUCAGGUAGGAGAAAAUCGGGUGGUGCAGGAACAGCACUGCUGAUGGAGACGAACCGACACCGGCUUGGAAGAAUCACGGCUGGAAACAGAGUUCAAUGUGUGAGCUGGAGUUCACCCUCCAGAACCCAAUUCCAGGACUACUCUCCUCUCAC
rnacentral:RNase_P_RNA from 2 species